rnacentral:rRNA from 1 species
UACGUAGGGUGCAAGCGUUGUCCGGAAUUAUUGGGCGUAAAGAGCUCGUAGGUGGCCUGUCGCGUCGGCUGUGAAAACUCGGGGCUCAACUCCGAGCUUGCAGUCGAUACGGGCAGGCUAGAGUUCGGCAGGGGAGACUGGAAUUCCUGGUGUAGCGGUGAAAUGCGCAGAUAUCAGGAGGAACACCGGUGGCGAAGGCGGGUCUCUGGGACGGUACUGACGCUGAGGCGCGAAAGCGUGGGGAGCAAACAGG